rnacentral:lncRNA from 1 species
CGCGGGCCUCGGGGGCCGCGGUGGCCUCGCCGUGCGCCCGGCCCGAUCUGGAGUCGGCGGGGCCCGCACCGAGGGCGAGGGCGGCCGGGAGGGCCUCGAGGUGACCCCGGCGCCUAUUUUUAGCGGUGCUGAAGGCCGGAGCGGGAAGGCGGAUUACAGCCCGGCCGGAGCCGCUCCCCGAGUGCCUCCCCGCGGGAGGGCAGAGUGGGGCCGAGACGGCAACGGGAGCCCUUUCCGCGGGAGGCUGCCCUGGGCUACCCCACGCCGUAUCCUCGUGGACUUUUGGCCGGGAGACCUCGGCCAGAGCCCGGCCUGGCGGAGCGGAGCAGCCCGCGGUCUGCACCCGGCGUGGGCUUGCAGCCCGCGCGUCCGGGGGGUGGCCUCGAGCCGGCCGGGGCUGUGCAGGGUCGGCCCUGCUUGGAGGAAGCGGGGGUCGCUCUCGGAACACUGCCGGCCUCUGCCAGAGAUUGGUGCCAGAGCCGCGCUUUGGCUAAGAAUUGCUUAAAAAGCUGCAGUUGAAGUUAGCUGUUCAGAGCUGUGGGGGAUUUUUGAGAUGCUUUUGGGAACUCGGGCUACCGUAGCCAGCUAAAUGUAAGCACUUUAAGUGGCGAGCUGAACACUGACUUGUGUGGAAGUUAACUUCAGAUUUGAGUUUUGGCGAAAUUCCGCUCUUCUAAGUCUCCCUGCCUCACCUCUUAGGCAGUGACAGCAGCGGCGCCCAUUUGACUAAAAGCAGUUGCUAGUGAGACUUGAGAUAAGCUUCUCAAGAACAGGACUGGCGAACUCUUGUUCUUUUUAAAUUGUUUUCUUUCCUGUUUUUUUAAGGCUCUAGCACGAAAUAGUUAUGCCUAUUUGUAGGUUUUAAGAAAAAGAUCAUUCUCCUCCCACCCCAGUGUUGAGUUAGAAACGUCUCUUCUAAUGUUGUAGACCUCUAGCAGACAUAAUCGCAAUUAUCUCGUGCGUUUAGAGAAUAAAGUGUUCUACUUAAUUUACUGAGACGCAGGCUGAAAAUAUAACAAGACCUAUUGAAAAAUUUUCUUUUUUUCUUAAGUAGCCCAGGUUGGACUUGAACUUGAUUUUCCUGUCUCAGUCUCCCCUGUGCUGGGAUUGUCAUAGGCCACUGUGUCUGGCUGAAAAUUUUUCUUAAAUGGAUUAAACACUAAUUUUAUAAGAUAUGCAGUAUUUAAUCCUUUUUUGUUAAUUCAGAGUCAGUCAGCAUUAUGAAAAACCAUUAGUUUAUAAUUUUGGUUGCAUUAAGAUAUUUGUGUGUCCUUUAUUUAGUAGUCUUUUCUGCUUGAUGUGCUUUUCCCUAAAACUUUCUCCAAGCCAUUUGCAAGUUAUAGGCUUAAUCUGCUUUUGGUAGGGACAGCAUUUUAAGAAUUAUGCGGUGCAUGUAUAUUAAUGUGGCUUUUCUAAAUUGCCUAAGAAGUUCAGGCUUUUUCUGAGGCUUCACUUCUGGAGGACUUGUGUUAAGAUUGUGAUGGUUUGUCAUACCCCAGGGCCUGCGCACUCAUUCCUAGAGGAUGUGGUUUUAAUUGCUUAGUGUAUUUUUUAAUAGCAAAAGGUGUUUUAAUCUAAAAUAUUAUUUUUUGAAAAUAUUAAGUCAUUAAUGAACUUAAUAGUUCCAGGGAAGCUUUGAUUUUCUUAGGAAUUUGACCCAGUAUGUCACAGGAAAUGCAGAAAAACUGUGCUUUUCAAGAAUAUUUGAGAAGAACAUAUUAUAGGAACUUCUCGUUCUACUGGUUAUUAUCCGAAGUUAUUUAAUUCAAAGUAUACCCAGAGGCUGGAGGUGAGUACCUUUCUCUAGAUGUGAUACGGAUCACUUCUGAACAAAUAGAGUUGUAUUUCAUUGUUCCUCUUUCAGUUUUUGUGAACAUGACUUAGGAUGUUCUGAUCUGGAAAAUGUAAUUGAUGUGUAAAUCACUGGGAACACAAACAGUGGUUUAAAUGAAUAUAAGCUAUCUUUUUUUUUUUUUUGUAAAUAGAAAAAUCAAACAGUGAAAGGAAAAUCAUUAAAUGCCAUGAUCUAAGGAAUUUGACUUAAUUUCUAUGUCUGAGGUCUAGAAAAAGUAGUAUUGACCGUUUUUAGCUGUAUUUCAGGUGGUUGAGUUAGUGUUUAAAUGUAUUUUUGGUCUUUGAAAUAGGUAACACCGUCAGCUGUUUAGGAUUUAAUUGCUUUUAUGUAGAAAAAUGAGCAAGAUACAAUUUUCAUACUAAUUAGCCAACCUAGGUGGUGCACGCCUAUAACCCCAGCACUCAGGAGGAUGAAGCAGGAGGAUUGCCAUGAGUUUGAGGCCACCCUGAACUGCAUAGCAAGACCAAAAAAGGUACUAAGUUUUAGUAGAGAAUUUAAUAGGAAAUAUAUUUCUAGGAAAUGUAUAAGAAAUGCUAAACUUUUUUUUCCUUAUAAAACUAUGCUCUAGUAUUGUGUGUGACAUGUUUACUACAGACUAAGAACUUUGACAAAUAAUUUAAAUCUAGCUUCUGCAAAAAAGUUUGCACUCUAAAUGUAGCAAGUGAAUUGUUUACAUUCCUCUUCUUCCAGGACAUACUUCUUUUUGGGAUCUCUCACUAAGUCCUCAUUUUUUGUUUUGUUUUGUUAUUUUGUUCUUUGAGAUUGAGUCUUGCUAAGUGGUUCAGGCUGGCCUUGAAUUUGAGUGCUAAUGAUACGGAAAAGUUUUAGAUAACUUAAUAGAUUGAAUUUUAAAUUAGUUGUAGAAGCAAAAUAAGUAAUGUGUUCUUGUAAGAUUUGCUUUUCCCUUAACUCCUUGUUUAAGGUGACGAUUAUCUGACUCCAACCUGUAACUUCAUUCACCUAAUAAAGUUACCAUGCCAGGAUGGGAUCUCGUUGUGUAGUCCAGGCUCCCCUUGAACUUGGAAUCAUCCUGCGUCAGCCUCCCAAGUGUUGGGAUUACGGAUGUGUGCCCCAUACCUGACUUGGACCUGUAUCUUUUCUUAGGGUAGUGGUCUUUUGAUUUUCCUUCCAUAAAUCACACUCUAAAAAUAUCAUCUAGGACAAUGAUGCCGAACCAUUUAGAAACUGUCAAACUGCAACCCAAAACCCACUUAUUUAUCACAGUGCCAACAUUGCAAUUAAACAUGAAUACCAAAGUUUUAGUUUAGAAAAUAUAACUCUACAUUAACAUAUUUUGUCUUAAAAACAGACUAAUGUGUGCCUUAAGUUCGCCACCACUGAUCUAUAAUUUCUAUUACUGGUUUCUUUAAAGUGGAAUGAAUAUGUGGACACUGGGAAACUCUUAAGUCCAAAAUCCUAGAAUUUUUCCAGAAGAUUUAGUUUAGUUUUCAUUUAAAAACACCUUUUGACUUUGUUCUCAUAUGUAAUAGAUUUUCAGAAACAAGCAGGUAUGCAGCUACACUGUUAGCCAUAAGCAUUUAGCUUUUGGGAGGAGAUAUAUAUAUAUUUUCCCCCAGUACUGGGGAUCGAACUCAGGACCUUGCGCUUGUGAGGCAGGCAUGGUGCCACUGAGCUAAAUCCCUGGCCCCCUCACCCUGUGUAGUUUUACAGAGGGGGAGAAUGUCAGUUAAUCAUAUGAGAAUUCAAGACAGCUUCUACUUUGAAUAAGCCUUAACAGCCCUCCAUUAAGGAGAAUGUCACUUGCAUUUCUUUGAGUUGGAGUAAAUGUACAGUUAGUUAUCAGGACUUGUAUACAUUUUAAUAAACACAUUGUCCUAUCUAGAGAUGUGAUGGUAUUAUGCACUCUGGAAAAUGUGGGACAAUUAUGAUUUAUUCUUCUACAUGAAUCAUUUGACCUGCCAAGGAAACAGCUUGGUCUGGUGUAAUAAGCUGGAAGUCAGUAAAUUAGAGACCUACAGGUCUUAGGCCUUACUAAGGCCAAGGAUUUAUGCAAGGAUUUUUUAUGUCAGUUCUUUAAUUACUGCGUAGUGUGUUAGAAGAGGAAUACUUGGGAUCCUGAAGAGCCUGGGUUUGGAUUUGGUUUUACCCAGUCAGUAUCACUUACUGAAUGUGUGAUUUUACCCUACCUGAGGCUCACUAAGGAAUUGCUGUAUUUUAUUAGUACAGUAUUAGUGCUGUAUUUUUAUUAGUAUAGUAGUUGCUGUAUAACUGAUAGCUAAAGUUAAAGACUUAUUUGUUGUCAGACUCUUGUGAAUAUUUAUGUAUAAUAUUUAUCUUCUUGACAAACUUAUGAGGUAAGUACUGUUUGGUGGAGUCUGGAGAGACUAGUUAAAUAAUUUAUCCAGAGACUGAGCAGAUGAGAGGAUGAGCCUGAAAUUUAACUGAGGCAUUAAUUAAUACAAGUGCCUAUUCUUACCAUUGAGCUGUUUUCUAAAAAUGCUUUGGUGGGAGCCUGGGAGUGGGAAGCACAGUUCACAUGCAGCUGUCUGAUGUUAGGUGUUAGACAGCUAAAUUAAGAUUACAAAGAUUUUUCUACCUAGAGUUAGAAGAUUAAUUUUUAAAAUUUGACUUGAGUUUGAAAAUUAGAAGUUUUCCAAGUGAAGAAAAUACUAAAAGUUACUUAAAAACUAAAUAGUAUGUAAUGUUUUGUUAUGUGGAAAGCAGUGGGUAGGUAGUCUGUGGUCCUUUUAGUUUCCAAGAAUUUUGUUCAGUGUCAGUUCCUGUGUGUGUGCAUUGUGAGUUACUUGAGAUGUUGUAGAUGUUGUUCAACAAUUGUCUCAGGAAGGCCAACCAAUCCUGAUUAUACUACCUAAAACGCAUAUCCUCUUUACUGUUUGUUCCAGCCUUAUUGUAAUUCAUUGGACUAUCAGUUCCUACAUGACAUACUAUGUGUUUACUCAUGUGUUAGCAUGGGAAAUUGAGUAGCAUUUGGAAAGCCAUGUAGAGUGAAACUCCCAAAAGAUUUCAGGUUUACUCUUGCAGAAGUGGAAUGGAAAACAAUUUAGAACAUGAAUUUCAGCAAAAUACCUUGUACUUCCAUCAGUUAAUCUUGUAGAUCUGUAACGAAGUAUUUUGAGUGAAAUCUGUACAUAAAUAAAUUAGUGAUUGCAUAUGUUUAGAUCCAGUUAUCUUUGAAAUAAAUUUGGACCAGCUAUUCACUGAAAGCUCCCCAGUGUUUUACAUGCUAUGUUUCAGAAUGUUUGUUUCCUUAAAAAUUUAAUAUACAAACACAAGUUGAAUUCAUUUAUGUACUGCUGAAUUAUAUUUACCUAGGUUAUUGGGAAGCCAUGUUCAUUUGAAAUAUGUUCUGUAAUGGUAUUUUCAUACCCUGGAUGUCUGGAUUUGGCUGAGUUUUGUGAUUUCCAUGAAGUGAGUUUUUCAGACUCAUCAUUUAGUGUUCUUUCUAGGUACAGUUGCAAGGACUGUGCUAUAUUAUCUUUUUGGUCUGCCUCCAUUGCUGACAAAUGGGGAUCAGUUUGACCUAGAGGUUUACAGUAAUUUUAAGUUUAAAUUGGAUCCUUUGUAAAGGUAGCUUAGUUCUUUUGGGUUUUAUAAUUUGGUCACUAGUAUUGGAUUAGUUUUAACCUGAAGCACAUGUAUUGAAAUUUCAAAUUUUUGGUGCAAUUUCAAUAAAAUAGCAUUGAAGAUUAACCUUGGAAUUACAGCUCAUGCAUUUAUUUUAUCUGGAGUUAGCGGGGGAGAAAAGAAAUAAUUCAUAAAUAUAACUUAGUCGUAAAAUGAACCAAGCUGAAUUUUUGCCUCUUCUUCCACCAUUGUUUACUAUCCCUCAAUGUUAUGUAAUCUUCAUUUAGGCAAAAAGUCCCAGCAGCAUUUAAAGUAACAUAUUUUAUGUAAAAGGAAGCUUUAGUUAUUUUUUUCUCAGCUACUGUGUCCGUCUGGUUUUCUGAUGGAGCUUUGUACUGUCAAAACAAUCCUAGGUAUUUUCUGUGAAAUUUAAAGAGUAGAUUUCUUAAAGUAUUUGCAGUGUUUCUUGGGGAAAAUGUUUGAAAAUACAACUUUCUACAGUUAUUCAGCGUUGUUAUUAUAACUACAUAUUAAAGAACCAAUGAUUUGUGCCAUUUUUAUUUUAAUUUAUAUUUAGCUAUUCCUAAUUAUUUUGUUGAAAAUUAAUUUAGAAGAAAUAGUACAGAAUAUGUAUGUAGGAUUUAAAGAUUAAACA